AGUAACACGUGGGCAACCUGCCUGUAAGUUGGGGAUAACUCCGGGAAACCGGGGCUAAUACCGAAUGAUAAAGUGUGGCGCAUGCCACGCUUUUGAAAGAUGGUUUCGGCUAUCGCUUACAGAUGGGCCCGCGGUGCAUUAGCUAGUUGGUAGGGUAAUGGCCUACCAAGGCAACGAUGCAUAGCCGACCUGAGAGGGUGAUCGGCCACACUGGGACUGAGACACGGCCCAGACUCCUACGGGAGGCAGCAGUAGGGAAUCUUCCGCAAUGGACGAAAGUCUGACGGAGCAACGCCGCGUGUAUGAAGAAGGUUUUCGGAUCGUAAAGUACUGUUGUUAGAGAAGAACAAGGAUAAGAGUAACUGCUUGUCCCUUGACGGUAUCUAACCAGAAAGCCACGGCUAACUACGUGCCAGCAGCCGCGGUAAUACGUAGGUGGCAAGCGUUGUCCGGAUUUAUUGGGCGUAAAGCGCGCGCAGGCGGUCUUUUAAGUCUGAUGUGAAAGCCCCCGGCUUAACCGGGGAGGGUCAUUGGAAACUGGAAGACUGGAGUGCAGAAGAGGAGAGUGGAAUUCCACGUGUAGCGGUGAAAUGCGUAGAUAUGUGGAGGAACACCAGUGGCGAAGGCGACUCUCUGGUCUGUAACUGACGCUGAGGCGCGAAAGCGUGG
rnacentral:rRNA from 1 species